CCCUUAGAUGUUCUGGGCAGCACGCGCGCUACAAUGGUCUUCGCAAACGGAUGCAUUCUCGAAGGAGAAUGCCAAUCUUGGAAUCUAUGCCUUGGUCGGGACAGUUGCUUGCAAUUUUUCGACUCGAACCAGGAAUUCCUUGUAAUCGUGAUUCAUCACAUCACGACGAAUACGUCCCUGCCCUUUGUACACACCGCCCGUCGCUCCUACCGAUCGAAGAGUUAGGUGAAUUGUUUUGAUCGAUAAGAUUUGACUAUGGUCAACUCUCGUUGUGAAAUUCUGUGAAUCUGACUGUUUAGAGGAAGGAAAAGUCGUAACA
rnacentral:rRNA from 1 species